UUAAGCGACUAAGCGUACACGGUGGAUGCCCUGGCAGUCAGAGGCGAUGAAGGACGUGCUAAUCUGCGAAAAGCGUCGGUAAGGUGAUAUGAACCGUUAUAGCCGGCGAUGUCCGAAUGGGGAAACCCAGUGCAAUUCGUUGCACUAUCGUUUGAUGAAUACAUAGUCAAACGAGGCGAACCGGGGGAACUGAAACAUCUAAGUACCCCGAGGAAAAGAAAUCAACCGAGAUUCCCCCAGUAGCGGCGAGCGAACGGGGAGCAGCCCGGAGUCUGAAUCAGCUUGUGUGUUAGUGGAAGCGUCUGGAAAGUCGCAGGGUACAGGGUGAUACUCCCGUACACUAAAACACACAGGUUGUGAACUCGAAGAGUAGGGCGGGACACGUGGUAUCCUGUCUGAAUAUGGGGGGACCAUCCUCCAAGGCUAAAUACUCCUGACUGACCGAUAGUGAACCAGUACCGUGAGGGAAAGGCGAAAAGAACCCCGGCGAGGGGAGUGAAAAAGAACCUGAAACCGUGUACGUACAAGCAGUAGGAGCCCACUUGUUGGGUGACUGCGUACCUUUUGUAUAAUGGGUCAGCGACUUAUAUUCUGUAGCAAGGUUAACCGUAUAGGGGAGCCGCAGGGAAACCGAGUCUUAACUGGGCGUUAAGUUGCAGGGUAUAGACCCGAAACCCGGUGAUCUAGCCAUGGGCAGGUUGAAGGUUGGGUAACACUAACUGGAGGACCGAACCGACUAAUGUUGAAAAAUUAGCGGAUGACUUGUGGCUGGGGGUGAAAGGCCAAUCAAACCGGGAGAUAGCUGGUUCUCCCCGAAAGCUAUUUAGGUAGCGCCUCGUGAAUUCAUCUUCGGGGGUAGAGCACUGUUUCGGCUAGGGGGUCAUCCCGACUUACCAACCCGAUGCAAACUACGAAUACCGAAGAAUGUUAUCACGGGAGACACACGGCGGGUGCUAACGUCCGUCGUGAAGAGGGAAACAACCCAGACCGCCAGCUAAGGUCCCAAAGUCAUGGUUAAGUGGGAAACGAUGUGGGAAGGCCCAGACAGCCAGGAUGUUGGCUUAGAAGCAGCCAUCAUUUAAAGAAAGCGUAAUAGCUCACUGGUCGAGUCGGCCUGCGCGGAAGAUGUAACGGGGCUAAACCAUGCACCGAAGCUGCGGCAGCGACACUAUGUGUUGUUGGGUAGGGGAGCGUUCUGUAAGCCGUUGAAGGUGGCCUGUGAGGGUUGCUGGAGGUAUCAGAAGUGCGAAUGCUGACAUAAGUAACGAUAAUGCGGGUGAAAAACCCGCACGCCGGAAGACCAAGGGUUCCUGUCCAACGUUAAUCGGGGCAGGGUGAGUCGACCCCUAAGGCGAGGCCGAAAGGCGUAGUCGAUGGGAAACAGGUUAAUAUUCCUGUACUCGGUGUUACUGCGAAGGGGGGACGGAGAAGGCUAUGUUGGCCGGGCGACGGUUGUCCCGGUUUAAGCAUGUAGGCGGAUGUUCCAGGUAAAUCCGGAACGUUAUUAACGCUGAGGUGUGAUGACGAGGCACUACGGUGCUGAAGUGACAAAUGCCCUGCUUCCAGGAAAAGCCUCUAAGCAUCAGGUAACAUCAAAUCGUACCCCAAACCGACACAGGUGGUCAGGUAGAGAAUACCAAGGCGCUUGAGAGAACUCGGGUGAAGGAACUAGGCAAAAUGGUGCCGUAACUUCGGGAGAAGGCACGCUGAUGGUAGGUGAAGUGACUUGCUCAUGGAGCUGAAAUCAGUCGAAGAUACCAGCUGGCUGCAACUGUUUAUUAAAAACACAGCACUGUGCAAACACGAAAGUGGACGUAUACGGUGUGACGCCUGCCCGGUGCCGGAAGGUUAAUUGAUGGGGUUAUCCGUAAGGAGAAGCUCUUGAUCGAAGCCCCGGUAAACGGCGGCCGUAACUAUAACGGUCCUAAGGUAGCGAAAUUCCUUGUCGGGUAAGUUCCGACCUGCACGAAUGGCGUAAUGAUGGCCAGGCUGUCUCCACCCGAGACUCAGUGAAAUUGAACUCGCUGUGAAGAUGCAGUGUACCCGCGGCAAGACGGAAAGACCCCGUGAACCUUUACUAUAGCUUGACACUGAACACUGGUCCUUGAUGUGUAGGAUAGGUGGGAGGCUUUGAAGUGUGGACGCCAGUCUGCAUGGAGCCAUCCUUGAAAUACCACCCUUUAAUGGCUGGUGUUCUAACGUGGGCCCCUAAUCGGGGUUGCGGACAGUGUCUGGUGGGUAGUUUGACUGGGGCGGUCUCCUCCUAAAGAGUAACGGAGGAGCACGAAGGUCAGCUAAUCCUGGUCGGACAUCAGGAGGUUAGUGCAAUGGCAUAAGCUGGCUUGACUGCGAGCGUGACGGCGCGAGCAGGUGCGAAAGCAGGUCAUAGUGAUCCGGUGGUUCUGAAUGGAAGGGCCAUCGCUCAACGGAUAAAAGGUACUCCGGGGAUAACAGGCUGAUACCGCCCAAGAGUUCAUAUCGACGGCGGUGUUUGGCACCUCGAUGUCGGCUCAUCACAUCCUGGGGCUGAAGUAGGUCCCAAGGGUAUGGCUGUUCGCCAUUUAAAGUGGUACGCGAGCUGGGUUUAGAACGUCGUGAGACAGUUCGGUCCCUAUCUGCCGUGGGCGCUGGAGAAUUGAGGGGGGCUGCUCCUAGUACGAGAGGACCGGAGUGGACGCAUCACUGGUGUUCGGGUUGUCAUGCCAAUGGCAUUGCCCGGUAGCUAAAUGCGGAAGAGAUAAGUGCUGAAAGCAUCUAAGCACGAAACUUGCCCCGAGAUGAGUUCUCCCUGACUCCUUGAGAGUCCUGAAGGAACGUUGAAGACGACGACGUUGAUAGGCCGGGUGUGUAAGCGCAGCGAUGCGUUGAGCUAACCGGUACUAAUGAACCGUGAGGCUUAACCUU
rnacentral:rRNA from 2 species